rnacentral:lncRNA from 1 species
GUAAUAUUUAUUUUCAAGGGAAACGAAAAUUAUGUGGUUAUACAAGGGUUUUUGGAAAGAAACACAGACAAAAUAAAGACACUGCACUAAGCUGGCUGCACCAACUUAAAUUUCAAGGGGGCUGCAUCCUAAUGACACAUCAUGGAGGAGAUGAAGAUGUAACAAUUAAAUCCAGCUAAUCAGGGGACAUGAAUAUUUCAGUGCACGCUAAAUACUGAUGUGAUUCCCCAGGCGGAAACUCCCACAGAGAAUGACUCUGUGACACCCUUGAAAGAGAAAGCAGCAGGAAGAAUAAAGAGGAGGCCACCAUGAUGGGCUGAUAAAAGAAACGUUUCCUUGGGGUUUACGUUUAUUGGUUGUUUCUGACUUUCUCUAAAUGGCGGUGGUUACCGGGCAGCCUCCAAGAACGGAAGCAGCUGUGGCAAGGGAAUUCUCCAGAAUCUGUGAGGUUUCUAGCUACGAAGAGCUUCAGUGAUAUCUGCUUGUCACCAGCAAGUCCUGGAACUCAUCAGUAACUGACCCUACUACAUGAGCCCCUACAUAAGGAAGGCUCUCCCUUCUCACCCUCAUGAUCCAUCUCCCAUGGUUCUUAGCAAACCAUCAGUGCCAUGUUUUGACCAAGAAAAAGUAAAAUGGAAAGCUAUCCAAAUGU